rnacentral:rRNA from 1 species
AUGGCUGUCGUCAGCUCGUGUCGUGAGAUGUUGGGUUAAGUCCCGCAACGAGCGCAACCCUCGCCUCUAGUUGCCAGCACGAAGGUGGGCACUCUAGAGGGACUGCCGGCGACAAGUCGGAGGAAGGUGGGGAUGACGUCAAAUCAUCAUGCCCCUUAUGACCUGGGCUACACACGUGCUACAAUGGGCGGUACAAAGGGCUGCGAACCCGCGAGGGGGAGCGAAUCCCAAAAAGCCGCUCUCAGUUCGGAUUGCAGGCUGCAACUCGCCUGCAGAAGCCGGAAUCGCUAGUAAUCGCGA